GCGCGGCCGGGGGCGGGGCCUGUCUCCCGGGAAACCACCCUCGGGCCAAUGCGCGACGCCAGCCCCGGGUUUCGGUUGAGCGGCGGCUGUUAGACGCCCUGAACCGUUGCCACCCCCGGCCGCCAGUUGCGGGUAGAGGGGCCUCUGAGACUGGGGUACCGAGGCCCCUGCGACUCGGCGGCCGCGGCUAGGCCAGACGGGGGCCAGUGGCCGUCCUUUGCGACAGUAGACAGGGUUCGGGUUCGCGAUCCGCCCUGGUGGGUCUCGGGUGCGGGUGUCCGGCCGGCCGUUGCCCGCCCCAGUCUCCUGCAGCUGGAGGCGUGCGUCCCCCAGUGGGGGAGCGGCGGGAGUGCGGGCGCGGGAGGGGCCGCUGCCGGGCGAGGGUGAGCCAAGUCCGCUCCCCCGGCCGUGACCCGGUCGCCCCAUGCAGGUUCAGCGGCCGGAAGCCUGGCCGCAGCUCGCACCCGCUCCCCCCGCCGGAGCUCCCGGAGGUCCCUCGCCGGCAGCGCCUGUGUGUGGCUUCGAGAGGAGGAAAGUUGACUGUGAAGUAGCCUCGGAGUCACUCCUGCCCAGGCCUGCAAGUCACCGUUGCGGGUGUCAGUCUGUCGUUACCCAACUUAGGGCCACAGAAGUUUGAUCCUAUGAAUACCCGGGAUAAUCCGUGGUCUCAUCAGCAAAGGCAAAUGCCUUACCCACCUGCUUCUUCCCCUCACUGCUUUCCUCCCAAAUGGUUCUCACUGGCUUCAAAACCUCUUCUUCGGUGAAUUCUAGUAGACUUGAUUUUGGAGCGUCCUUUAAGGUUCCAUUCCUCAAGGAUUGUCCAGGGCCUUCGGAGAAUAUGCAGAAUGUGUAAGUGCCAGACUUUUGAAGGCAACAAUGUUUGGCUCCUUGCCUAAGGAUGGAGGCAGAUAUCAUGGGAGCCCAGGAGUGUGUGUGACCCCUACAGCCAGCACUAAUGAGUAUGGUAGGGAACCUCAAAGCCAUGCUGUAUAUUUUGUGUCAUGGUGAAGUCUCUGUCAUUUGCUCAGUUACUCCUUUGAGUAUCCAAGAGAAAUACUUAUGGCCACUAGAUAAACUUGUAGGCUGUAUAUAGGAUAUCUUAAUAUGUCAAUAGUUUGAUUAGUAUAAUAAAAACAGCACAGAAAUCGUAAGACUAGGAGCAUGUGUAACCUCAACAGCUGUGGGGUUUAUAUGGCUGUAGAUAUGAUAAUAGCUGAGAUGUACAGUGUUUAUCAUGUGUCAAGCGUUGUCAUAGAGGUUGACAUCUAUAAACAUAUUGCGUCAUCACAUGUAGAAACUUCCUAACAAUCCUAUGACUUUAGGUAUUAUUAUCCACAUAUUACAGAUUAGGAAAAGAGGAACAAAGAGGUUUGGUAAUGUGUUCAAGAUCACAAUGAACAAAUGAUGACUUAAGCCCAUGUAGUCUGUUUCCAGAGUUCUUUUAACCACUGAAAAUGAUCAAAGACAAAGAAGAGGUAAAGAUUUCAACUUUCAGGAGGGCAUAUAGUAGUGGGAGCUGUGUAUCUGUGGGGAAAAGAAAAAGACUUUCAAAUAACACUGAUUUUAGGUUGUAUACCAAAUAGAGAUGUACGGAAAGCUAGACAAAGACAUGCUAAGGAAGAAGAUUCAAAAAAUGAUCAAGUUAUGUUUUGUACUCACUGCAAGUAAACAGAAAGUGUGAAUUACACUGAUGAGUAUGGUCAGAUAUUUCAUGUAAACUUCAUGCAAUACAGAUAACCCAGUAAUGGCAGAAAUGCUGCAAAACCAACUUGCAGGAAGACCUCCACUUCUCUACAUGAAAUACUUGAAUACUUUCAGUUUCAAAAUGGAAAAUUGCUUAGAUACUACUUGCCACAUAGAAGAAAUAGAGGCUGAAAAGUCUUCUCAGUUCCAUUUAUUAUUAACCAAUUGAGAAUAAAACCAACGAAUGGUAUGUAAAAGAACUUUGGUUUAAAGGUGACAACAUGGACAUUAUUAACUCACAUGAAGCACAGUGAGAUUUGCAAAUGACUGGAAGAUCCCACAAUCCUCCAGACCAAUCCUUGUAAUCCAGAGGACUCAUAGGGGAGCAGGACAAUCAAUAGGUGUACCCACAACUUGGGUUGAGUGUGUUGUUGGCAGGGAUUCUGGCUUUCUUGAAAGAGUGGGACGCUUUGUGGGCUUGUGAUUGGUUUUUCAAGUCAAGUGGUUAUGAGAGAGUAUUGUAUAUAACUGUAGAUGGGGUGAAAUCUUUAACCUAACCUGAGAGUAAUCACUGAAGUCCUCUCUGCACCUACUGGAUGAGCGGCAUGACUUCAUACAGCUCAUAAGUGGCACUCAUCUGCAUAUGAAUCUGAUAUUUUCACAAAGGCUACAACAAACUGUGAGCAAGGAGAGAGAGUACUCAGAUUGUGCUGAAAGGUAUAAUAAUGCAGAAGCUCUGUAGAUGUUUUCUUAACGUUAAUUUUGACCAUGGUCUAAAAUGUCCAGAGUGUUGGUAAUCUAGUAUAGCUUGUAGCCCAUAAUAAAUGGAUGCUAUAUUUGCAUUACUAUAAUACUUAUACUCAAGAUAAGUGAAAUAAUUUAAUAUAACCAGCUCAGCUACAUUAUGAUAAUCUGGAGUUUUCUACUCAAAAGAAUUGAAUGAGGAUGUACUUUUGAAGGGCCAGUUCAGUAUUUAAGGCAUUGUCAACAAUGAGUAGGAAAGGGAGCAUUCCUCUGCUAGGAUCAGCUCUACUCCGAAACUAUGGCUAUGCCUUUUUUUUUUUUUUUUUAAGUAAGUAUUACUUUCUAAAUUGAAAUGAUCUCACAAAAGACUUGGCUUGAAGCUUGGUGAAGAAUAACCUUGUACAUAAUGGACACAGAGGGCAUUGGAUCGGAGUGUUUGAUGAAUGUGGCUUCUCAGGUCUCUCCAACUCCUCCUAAGACAGGUGUUUAGGCUGGUGCUACUCAGGUUCUGCCUGCCCAGGAUGGAGGAGCUUUAUAAGGCUCUUAUAUCCCCAACUACAUUAAUCUGAAAUUCCAGUAUAUUAUAUGGUUACAAAAACUGCCUUUCACAAGCCAGGUUGUCUGGAUCUAACCUUCAGGAUCCAGGAAUGAUCCUUGCUAAGCGACCAACACUGUCUUGCUACAUUGCCUGUAGUUGAUACAAUAAUGAUUAGGCAUCUUACACAGUCAUAUUGUGAUGUUGUAAAGAAAGAAGAAGCUGUGAGGGGCAUAAGAAUUCAGGUCUGCAAUGGUCAAAGGUAUAGUGGGAGCUAAGCAAAGCACUCUAGUCAGUUCCUACCACAUCUAUGGGAAGGUAUGUCUGGGUGUUGAAGGUGUUUGUGACCACACUCAUGGUGCUUAUGGGCAUAACAAAACCCAACCGCAUAUGUUUUUGCCAAAGAUAAAUUAUUACGCCCAGACCUGGCUGUGGAAACCAUUUGGUUGUUCAGAUAUCUGUCUGGGACAUCACAAGGCAUAGGCAGCUACUGACUAGCUGCCAGAGUCAGAACCAGUGGUAACUGUUACAAUGGUUUCCUCACAGAGUAAUAGCCAGCGUUUGUGUCAUAGGAUAUAUUGGUUUAGAAGCAGACAUGGCAAAUAUUAACUCUUUGUUGAUGUUUACGGAAGAAUGUGGCCUCCAGAAAAAGUGUUUUGUAUAAAUACAAGAAACUUGUGUCCCCAUCCCAGAUUUCACUAACGCUGUUUGAGGGUUUAUGAGUGGGAACUUAAAAGUACAAUCUGCACUGAUCAAUUUAAUAUGGUGCUUUUCAGCCUUUUUUUUUGUUGUUCCCCCUCCCACAAAGAGACUUUCUAAAUUUUCUCUUAAAGUGUUCACAGAUUUAUGACCAGUUGAUGAAUAUUGCUUUUCCCCAUAGGUAAGGAUUAAUGAAGAGUGUAGGAUUUUACUGUUACUGCAGCCAGUACUAGGUAUUUUAUUUUCAUUUUGCAGUUGGGAGAGAAGCAAGCAACUUUGUCUCUUUGGAGUAGAAAGUUCAGACUGGUAAAAGUUAGGAUUUCCCCUCCUUUCUUUUAACUUGGGAGAAAAAAUUAAAGUACCUUUUUACAUCGGGAAUGUUUUCUUGGUAAAAUUUUAAGAUAGCUGUUGCUUAUUUUUGCAGGUAUUUUUACGCUGGGGACAAAGAGUUAAGACUAUAAACAGUAUCCUAUCUCUGGGUUUUAAGCAACUUUUUAACAGGGUUUUUAGAAACUGAGACUAAACUUUUCUUGUCUUGAGUUUUAAAGCUAUUUUGCGAGCUAAUUACAUUAGGAACUAACACAAAGGAAAUUAUGUCUUGGAACUUUGCAACCUUUUACACUUUCUACUUUGGUAGUUGGUUACAAAUGAGGGUGGUGGAUGAUGGUGGGCAGGACCAGUGCAGUGGUAUUUGACUUAUAUGACCGAAUGGAAAAGGGACAACCACUGAUCUCAUUAUGCAUUAAAAUAUAAGCAUAUAAUUUAAUGAUGACACUGUGUAACCACCACUGAGGUCAAGAAAGAAAAGACUGCCAGCCUUCCACAUGUUGGUUCCAAGUUACGGCCCUUAUCCCCACAGGUAACCACUAUUGUGACCUGCAGAGUAAUUCCUUUUUUUAUACCCAUGUUCCUCAAAGCACGGUCUGGCAUGAGCAUCAUCUGGGAACUUGUUAGAAAUGCAAAUUCUUGGGCCCUCCCCUAGACCUAACACAUGUACACAUUUUUGUGUGUAGGAUGCAUAUUUAUGUGAAUUAAAGUAUAAAGCAGUAAUUCUCAAGCUUUAGCAUGUAUCAGAAUGACUUGGAUGGCCCAUUAAAACAGAGAUGCUGGGGCCUACACUGACAGUUUUUGAUGAUCUCUUUAUGGUGGUUUCAUUCCCUGAUUCUAAUUUUCUAAUGUGCUGGGUAUCUUUGACUCUGUGCUAGUCAUUGCACUUGACAUGUUAUUUUGCAGGAAUAACUAACUGUGAGGCCUAUAAAGAAGGUACUUUACCCCAAAGAGUAUUUGCAUUUGCUUCUGCUAGGCACCUGGGGGCACCAUCAGUCUGGGAUCGCCUGUUCAGAGUUUGAUAUACCCUGGACAAUGCAAGGGAUUUUUGCCAUGUUUUAAUUCUCUUUAGAUUAUUCCAAUUCUUGCUCCCUUCAUUCUGAGAUCCUGGAACCCAGGUUGUUGUAGGGGAAGGCCUCCUGUCAGGUCCCCCAACUUGUAUGGAUCUAGAGUUAGUCCUCUUCUUUACCCUGAUAGGCCAUAAAACGGGAGGUUCUAGUUUUCUGGGAUUAGUUAGUGCUAUCAGGACAAAAGUGGCUUCAGGCUUGUUCCCUUCUCUAGAUCCUUGACUUCUCUUUACUUUCGGCCUGAUGAUUCCUUGCUAUUUUAUAAUCUCUUUGAUGCCUUUGAAAAGAUUAUUUAAAUAUAUUUUAUCCAGCCUUUUUAGUUGUAUUCAGUUGUAGGACUGAUGUGAACAACCUGAACCAAACCUUUACCAGAAGGGAAAUCUGGAAAAUACAUUAUUAAUACACAGUAUUUUUUCAAAAUACUGUGGUUUUUCAAAACAUUAAGGAUCUAUGGAUAUUUAUAUCCUUAAAAAAAACUUUUAUCUUUAGCUGACAACUUCACCCAGACAUGGGACACACAAGAUGGUUUGGGUACAAAACUUUCCAUAUGAAAAAACUUGCAUAUUUACAACCUUUAACCACUCCUAAAGGCUCUGAUAUUUCUGGUGGGUUCCGAGGAAUGCUUCCCACAAAUGCAGAGCCUUCCAAAAUGCAGAGAUGUGCCUAGUGCAGGCUCCAUUUUGCAGUUUAUGGCACUUUCUAUGAGGUUUAAUUUUACCCUUAGCUUUAACCAGUCUGGACACACCAAAUUUAGGAAACAUAGAUGGCUUACACAUUUAUCCCUAGGACAGUUUCUGUCUGGGAUAGCAUGUGGAAUGCCCCAAAUUUUUAUCGGCAAGUUCUAAGCACUUGAUGAAUUUUAACCACCUCUCUCUCCCCCACAAAAAGUAGGUUAUAUCAUCUUUUUCCCCCCUGAUUGACUCCAAUGUCAUGUUGAUCCCUUAAGAUAGGCAAGAUUCUCAUGGAGAAAGUACCCCAUCUCAACCCAUUGCUGAUGAAUCAGAAUACAUUCUUUCUGGGUAGAGCUGAAUCUUUUAUAGUUAUCUUUAGAUAUAUUUUGAAGGGGAUUGGAGAUGGAAAUACAUUAAUGCUACACGCGUGAAUUUGGGAAGGAAACUGGCAGGCUUUCCAGGUGUCAAGAGAUUGUUGGGAAUUUGGUGAGAUACUUUAUUUUGAACACUCUCACUGGGGUUGACAAUUAGGAUGUGUAGCAAUCCGUGUAGGCUAGGCUUGAGGUAGGAAUCAACAAACUCUGAGAGCUAUUUGUAGAGUCCUUUAAAGAUACUUGACGGUCAUUUGAUGAGCAUCAGGAUCCCCUGAAGGUGGUAAGUCUUGCUUGCAGUGGAGCCCAUGACCCCUGUAAGUUGUGGGUCAGGAUAAAUGCCAGAUUUUGAUCUUCAUGGUAGCAAGCAUUAGCUCAUCUCAGAUAAAGGCUAUAACCCAACUAGUUAGAGCAGAGAAUGCCUUAAGGCAGUAGAGCACACGCUGCUCCCCAGUGCCUUUCUUCUCCUUCCCUAAGAUGUGCCCAAAAUCUAUGGGCUUAUGGCACGAGUGCAGGACGGGCGUCCCACCAGGUCAGAGGGACACUGAGUCUCCUCAGUCUGUGUUUUUCUUUAUCAGUUUAUAGAAGAUGAUGUUCUAGCUACCUUGUUGCUGAACCUCAAGUUCAUGUUUUGAGUACAGACCUUCAAACUAUACCAUAGGAUGCAGGAACUUUAUAGUUCAGAGGUACAAAUAAUGGUUGGGGAAAGGGUGCUUUGUGUAUAACACGGGGCUUUCCAACCAGGGGAUUUCUUAAGUUACAAUACUUAAAAAAAGUCAUGACCCGCCACAAUCCACCCCUUAGCUCAUGACUUUUGUGUGGACCAGCACAUUGAUCUCCAGACCAACAUGAUGACAUCAUUAUUUUCACAUAACUCGUCCCUUAAAAUAGAAAUAUUGCUUUCACAAAUAAUAAACUUCCUUAUUAUAAAUUCCUACUUUACUAAAUGGUAUGGAGAACUAGGACCACAUGGAAGUCCACUCAGUUUAAUCAUUUACUUAUGGACAUAUUUUAUUGAAUCCCAAGUGUUUGGGCAGUGGUCUGGGAUGUAGGCAUUUCCCCUGUUUAAUAAUACAUGCCCCUUCUCCCUCCCCAGCUAAAAUAUAAUCUUAAGGACAUGUGGAUAUAGACCACCAUAUAUCUUAUGGUUACCAUUUCUUCAGCAUUACUGUUGCAUAGCUGGCCAUCUAUAGCUCUAUCACUGAUCUCUGAAGUAGCCCUAUCAAUCUGAACUUUGGAAAUUAUAUAGUAAGUUCUGUUCCUGAGCCCAGCAGGGAUUUGGGGGAACCAUUUAGUGGCUCCCAGUGCUGGUCUACUUAGUUCCAAAUAGCAUCUCCCCCUGUAUUCCUCAGGCAGUCAUGGGUAUACAUGGGGUUCUCAUAUCCAGUAAGUGGGAGAAUUAGGAGUAGACCUACAGUUAUUGACAAAACCCAGAGUCCCAAUUUUUGGUACUUAAUAUGGAUGUUAUAAUAUAGGACUUUUAUGAGCAUCCUUGAUGUUACAAAUGCUGGUGCCUAGUCCCUUUAUCUCAGACUCAGAGAAAGCAUAUUUAUAUAGGGUUGGGACUAUGCCUUAGGAUGGCAGGAGCCGGGAAUGUAAGGGGUUGGGGAAUGGAUCUUCCCUCUCAUGGGUCCAGUUAAAUGACUAGGUACAAUCAACCCUGUUCCAGCUGAUAGAGAUUUGGUGAGUCUCAUAUGCCCUAUCCCCACAUAUAUUUUCUCUCUUAACUGCAGGAGAGCCUUCCAUUUAUCAUCCCUUUUAAACGUAGCCUUUGUGUAGGCUAUCCAGCUUCUGGACUUUGCCUGUUUUUUUAUUCAGUACCAUGAUUUACCAUCCCUCAAUUGUUCUAGAAUAAAGUAUGUAUCUCCAGCAGUUGGGCUAUGUAUUAUUCUGUAUCUGCAGCCUCUAGGCUAAUUAGAUAACUUGGUAUAUAGCCAAACAAGCGAUUUAGUAUCUUCUUGAGGAAAUUCAAUUACUACAGGUGCUCUGAAUCACCUGAGAUGUCUAGGGCAAUGACUGUGAUCAUUCAAGGUAAAACUCAUAUAAUCAGUGUUUUUUUUUUUUUUAAUGUACACACACACAUACACACACACACACACACACACACACACACUAGAAUGAGGACUAUUUGCUUGCUGGCUGUAACCUUAUUUAAAGUGGUAUUAUAGCUAGCCCUUCCAUAAUUAAUCUUCACUGUCUUCAGUGCAGGUAGCAGAAUCCUCUUUGUGUUUCUUUCAGAAAGUUUCCAUGCAGUUAGCUCCAGCUACAGCAAUAUGUCAUAGGCAUUGAACUUUGGGGCAAUGACUGGUCAGAGCUCCAAGCCAAAGAGUCUCCCGAAGAGAGCACUCUACUCACCUUCCUCACUGGGAACUAAUACCUGGAAUAGUACCAUGCACAUCUUUGUCGUACUGAACUUUGUCUUAGUAAAAUAAAGUUUUCUUUAAGAAGACUCUUCAGUGAGGAUGACUUUAAGAACAUGGCCAGGACCACCAGUGUUCUCAAGGGAGGAGAUGGCAGACUCAUUGGUUUGGCAGCAGCCCAGGCCAGCUUUUCCCCUGCAACUUUCCAAGCUUGUUUCUGUAGUGGUUGGAGCCAAAUAACCACUCGUAGACUUUGUUAUAGAAGGAAUGGUGAAGUCAUAUACAAAGAGCAGAAUGGGGUCAGCUAGAUGCUUUCUAUAGGUAGCUAAACUCAUCAUUUAGUCAAACUAGGAUGAACUGUGAUAGGCAGCUAAAGGUUCUUUUCUGUGUGGGGAGAAAAGGAGAGGAUGGGGCACAGAUAGUAUUGUAUCUUCCCUAUUUGUAUGACCUAUUCAGUGUUUUCAGGCCUGUUCUCUCUGUUAGCCUGCAGACUCCUGCAAGGGUACUUGUGACUUGCUGUUCCUGAAACAUUUGUGUCUCAACCACACCCCACACUAGGCCCCACCUUCCAUAGCCACGCAUCUGUUACUUGCACAUAAAGCCUCUGUUCCCAAAUGUUCCCAGUGGAGGAAGCGGCCUAAUUUGGGGUCACUGGCUUCCCUCUAGGGGCAGUUGUCUUGGAACUGUCUGAAGUUUGAACACAGGGUUGAAGGGCAGACAGUAUGGUGAGCAAUCUUAUUAUUUCUCUUGGUAUUUCCUUACCAUGACAGUAAAGGUUGCCCAUCAAUUUGGGCCUCUUUUGGCCUGUCUUUUAAUAGCCAGACCAACCGGUCUUUCCACUGAGAACCUCUUUUUUUUCUCUUUUUUAUAUCCCCCCACCCAUUUUCUUUUGGUUAUUUGGGGAGCUGAAAUUCCCAGAAGUCUUCCUAAGCCAUCUUUUCUAAAAUUAUGCAUAGAGACUGCUAGUUACCUACCACUCUAUUCAUUCUUCUUAUGAACAGAAAAAAAAAAAAAAAAACUACAUUGUCUGUCCUCCACUACCAGUAAGGAUGACACAGUGUGACACAGUCUUGUCAAUGAGGGGUAACUAAAUGUGUUAAGAGAAGUUUCUAGUAAAGCUCCUUAAAAAGGGGUAACUUCAGAGCACACACGCUUUUGCUCUAAUUUCUGCCCCUUCUUCCUGUCUGUAUCUUAGGGGAGAUGCUAGCAUGGAACAGGCAUCUCGCAACAAUACAGCCAUGUGAGAAAAGCCAAGUGAAAAGCUUGGGUCACAUCUGAAAAGGCUGGGUUAACAGGACACAUAGGCACUGUGUGUGAACUCAAAACUGCAUAAUUUUUGCACACUGCCACCAUCCCUGCUGCCUUAGGUUGUGAAGAAAAAAAUCCCUUUGUGGACAACAGAUCUGCACUGCUCUUAUAUCUCUAACACUGUUUGCAGGAGGACUGUGCUGCCAUAAUUUACUCUUAGCAUCUGCGACUUAGACAUUUUUUUACACCUAAAUUCUUUAAAAAAUAGCCAUGUGUACCUCUUUGCUGUAAGUUCAAAACUUGACAUUUCUUAUCAAUGGAAGGUCUAAGAUCCUCCAGUGGAGUGCAGGUAUACAAUUCGAAAACAAUUCGGUUGACAAUAAGUUCGUUAAUUUUGACAAUUAGACUUUAAAAAUUAGUACCACAGAUAUUUUAGAAUAGUAGUACUAUAAAUGUACCAUGAAAUGAUUUUGUAACACGUUACCAAUUUUAAAUGUGUAGAUCCAUAUUUUAAGUUUUGUGGAGAUGAAUUACUCUCUUUUUAGAUCCCUAUUUAUUUUCAGCCAGUCAUUCCAGCUUUGUAUUAUUUGUAAUAGUGAAACACUGAAACAGGUUCAGACCUAAAAAUAUAAAGGGUUAUUGCAACAGCUUACGGAGUUACACAAAAGUUAUGUAUUACUUAAUUGUGGCCACAAAAUAAAAUCUACAACUCCCUCAGUUUACAGAAAGAUCACCUCUGUAUGCACAUAUAUAUUAUCAAGCCGUUACUGUUAUUUUCCUAGAUAAAUGGGCUAAUAGAAUCUUUUAGUGUCCUAUUUAAUUUUUCUGUAAUGAACUGUUAUUAACUUUUCAUAAGAACAAUUUUUAAAAAUGAAAAGACUUCCUCUUGAUGGACAUUUAACAAGAGAAACAAAAAGUGUUGCUGAGAAAUGAAGAGCAUUCAGGAACCAGUGGACGCUCACUUUUGCUGCUGAGAUACCAUCACCGAUGACCCAGACUGCUCCAGGCCCAUGAACUGCUCCUGAGCUGCUUGUAGGACCUACGUGGCCACGAGCCCUGGCUGCAAUGCCAGAGAUGCCCUCUCAUGUCUGCCUUUACUUCCACAUGUUGCCUUGCCCCAUCCUGUGCUCACGUGUCUCUCUGAUGCUUAAAAAGUGUGCUUUCGUGUAUUCAAUAAACGCUAGAAUUUGAGUUAUAUGCCAAA